rnacentral:rRNA from 1 species
UACGAAGGGUGCAAGCGUUAAUCGGAAUUACUGGGCGUAAAGGGUGCGUAGGCGGGUUUUUAAGUCAGAGGUGAAAUCCUGGAGCUCAACUCCAGAACUGCCUUUGAUACUGAGAAUCUUGAGUAUGGGAGAGGUGAGUGGAACUGCGAGUGUAGAGGUGAAAUUCGUAGAUAUUCGCAAGAACACCAGUGGCGAAGGCGGCUCACUGGCCCAUAACUGACGCUGAGGCACGAAAGCGUGGGGAGCAAACAGG